UAAGGAAUAUUGGUCAAUGGACGCAAGUCUGAACCAGCCAUGCCGCGUGAAGGAUGAAGGUCCUCUGGAUUGUAAACUUCUUUUAUCUGGGACGAAACCCGGGCAUUCUUGCCCGAUUGACGGUACCAGAGGAAUAAGCACCGGCUAACUCCGUGCCAGCAGCCGCGGUAAUACGGAGGGUGCAAGCGUUAUCCGGAUUCACUGGGUUUAAAGGGUGCGUAGGAGGGCAGGGAAGUCAGUGGUGAAAUCUCCGGGCUUAACUCGGAAACUGCCGUUGAUACUCUCUGUCUUGAAUCCCGUGGAGGUGAGCGGAAUAUGUCAUGUAGCGGUGAAAUGCUUAGAUAUGACAUAGAACACCAAUUGCGAAGGCAGCUCGCUACACGAAGAUUGACUCUGAGGCACGAAAGCGUGGGGAUCAAACA
rnacentral:rRNA from 1 species